CUACAAUGGUUGAGGCAACUAUUCUACGAUAAGUCCAAUAGAGCAGACACCCUUCUCGCCCGUAAGCUUCGACACAGGGCACAAGCCAGACACAUAGACAAAAUUGCCUCACCCAAUGGCCGCAUCUGCAACACUCUCGACAAUCGCCUCAAUCUUUUUGAAAAAAAUUUCGUCCCUUUAUGACCAUAACCCAGGAGCAUGCCAGAACCAAACAAAACUCCAAGCCGCAACAGAGAC